UACGUAGGGAGCAAGCGUUGUUCGGAAUUACUGGGCGUAAAGCGCACGUAGGCGGCGCCGUAAGUCAGGGGUGAAAUCCCGGAGCUCAACUCCGGAACUGCCCUUGAAACUGCAGUGCUAGAAUCUUGGAGAGGCGAGUGGAAUUCCGAGUGUAGAGGUGAAAUUCGUAGAUAUUCGGAAGAACACCAGUGGCGAAGGCGACUCGCUGGACAAGUAUUGACGCUGAGGUGCGAAAGCGUGGGGAGCAAACAGG
rnacentral:rRNA from 1 species